CCUACGGGUGGCAGCAGUGAGGAAUAUUCGUCAAUGGACGCAAGUCUGAACGAGCCAUGCCGCGUGCAGGAAGACGGCUCUAUGAGUUGUAAACUGCUUUUGUACGAGGGAAAGCGCAGGUACGCGUAUCUGUCUGAAAGUAACGUACGAAUAAGGAUCGGCUAACACCGGCCCAGCAGCCGCGGUAAUACGGAGGAUUCAAGCGUUAUCCGGAUUUAUUGGGUUGUAAGGGUGGGGAAGCGGGUGGAAAAGGUAGAGAUGAAAUUCCGAGGCUUUAAUUAGAGAAUGCCUCGGAUACUGUUCAGCUAGAGAGUAGGUGCGGUAGGCGGAAUGUAUGGUGUAGCGGUGAAAUGCUUAGAUAUAACGAAGAACUCCGAUGGCGAAGGCAGCUUACUAACUUGCCACUGACAUUGAUGCUCGAAAGUGUGGGGAGCAAACAGGAUUAGAUACCCCUGUAGUC
rnacentral:rRNA from 1 species